ACCGACUGUCGGUUGGAAGCAGAUUAAAAUUUAGCUGCGGGAGAUAUUUUAAAUAUAUUGCCUUUGAUUUGCUCGUAGAUGAUAUCAAAAUUGGAAACUGGCUGGCUGGCUCGUCAGGUGCAACAGCUAACGGCCCCAUAAAUCCCGUCAUAACUAAUAAUAAAUUCGGAUUGUGCGGCUGUAUAUUGGUCGAGUGAGCUGCGCGAUUGGAGAAGGGGCACCAGUGGGGCUGGCUCUCGCUCCAUCAGUGUCAUCAUUAUCCCCAUAGAGUCCGAGAAUAUCUAUACUACGAGAAUAUAUCUAUAUAUAUAAUGUGUAUAUACACGCACGACGCAGGUGACGCAUCGGCCUCCAAAACGCUAUGGAGCAACAUGUAGCACAACAUUUCUUUGUUGUUGCCAGCAAGAUGAUAGAAGCCUCUCGAAUAGAAUUAACCUUACCCUCUCCAAGCAGCUGUCAGGUAUCAGGAACUGGUGAAAUGUUCGGCUUAUCAGCUUGUUAUCAGUAUUAGGUUUUUUCGCCGUUUGUCAUCGCAAACCGCAUCCAAGUGCAGUUGUAGAGCCCCCCCCCCCCUGCGUAUACGUAACAAAUAGCUAUCUCUAUAAAAAUGUAUGUACAUAUGUAUGUCGAUCCGUUAUUAUGUUCCGGCUGAGCUGCGAUGAGUAAGUAAUUACUAUACUCGAAUUUUGCAAUACUUCAUGAGUAUCAUUAUUCUCCUAUUUUAUCUAGAAAUUUCCAUAGAACAUAGAAACAAACAUGAUUGUGAUUACACCAUAACAAUUGUUGAGUCUUUAUUAAUUUAAUUGAAUAUUCUUUGAAUGCUUCGGUACUCACAUUAUUCUUAGUUUGACUACACUCCCAAUCUACAGUACUCGUCCACGCGACUCCUUCCGCCACUUACAUUGCUUCAACAUUAUCUCUUACGACGAGUAGUGCUGUUCAUUCUGUUUGUUGAUAAUAAUACAAUACAAUACACUAUAGCAGUUAACACACACCAAUAAUACACACACGGAAUUGAUAAUGGAUGUUUGUUGGUACUGGCAUGCAAUUUGUGUUCACGAGUUACACUUGAUAAGGUUCAUCCUCUACAUACAUAUAUCUAAUUACAGGUGUAUUUUUUUAUUUUCGAAACAAUACGAUGCUUUUGGGUUAUACAUAUUCCACACAUUAGCUACAAUUAGAUUGCAUCGUAAAAACUAAUCUAUCUCACUUGAUCGCAAUUCAAAAUAAUAAUAUUACUCUGUAUACGUUUCGCAUCCAUUCGUAAAAUCAAACGCUCUUCUGGGGACGGACGCUGUGUAUCGUACAAUUGAAAUUGUUUAAUUGGCAUUCCGAUUCCGAGUUAAUAAACAGAAAACUAGUCAUACAAUAUGGAAUUUGUUCGCCUUUGCAUACGUUUCGUUGUUUGCUCGACCAUUUCCCGGGAAGGGGAAUGGGAAUGGGAAGGAGACCAUUUGAAUUGAGGCAAUUGGCUGUCGGUAAUACAAAUUUGAAACCGGGCUGUUGCUGUUGUUGUUGCUGUUGCUGUUGCAUGAACGCAAAUGGGGGUUAGGGGGGCAUGGCCGCCUUGUGGUUCAUUCGUUGCUGCGCUUCGACUAGCCCUAGGACACUUGUAAACCAUAGUAAAAAUGUAUCAAAAUAUGCUCUUUCUUUUCUCGUCAAAAAUCAUGAGAAUAAAAUGUACAAAAAUCGUAUGUUGGUCGUAGACAUCUUAAAUAGUACGAUAUCUGUUGUGGACUCGUGUGUUGCACAUUCAUUUAAAGUAAGUGUGAUCCUGUGUAGUUUCUCAUAAGAUUCGAAAUACAUAUCCACCAUCAUCUACUUUCAAUCUAAAUUCGAAUCGCUGUCGCGAACAAAAAGUAUCUACUGGGACUUGGGGCAUCAGCUUGACAAUGAAACGGACUCCUUUGUCUAUGGUUCACAACAAUACAUAUAGUACACAUGCAUAUAUCUGAAGAAUUUCCACUAUGUUAAUUAAGGUAUUUUUUGCAUUGUAAGAGUACCCAUAUAGUAGUAUACUUUAAAGUUAUAGACACAUACUGUUCUGCACAUUGAGAUAGAUAGAAAUUUGAAUAGAACACGAGUUGCAAGUGGGGAAAUUAGAGGAUUACUACUAGUUUGGGAUAGUUAGGAGGAUCUAUGUAGGUCUGGACUUCGUGUAGCUAUACAUUUAAUAAACACAAUCUUUAGAAUUUGAAUUAAAAGUUUCCUAUUUGUUUGUUUGGUUUUUUUCAACAUUUAGUUGU